GGAUAUGUCACCUCAGCGGCGAGAGGGGAGGGCUCUUAAUCCUCUGACGAAAGUCCAUCGUGGGUUCGAGUCCCACCAUAUCCUCCA
rnacentral:tRNA from 1 species